GUCUACGGCCACGCUACCCUGAACAAGCACCAUAUCUGAUCGCGGAAGCUAAGCAGGGUCGGGCCUGGCCAGUACUUGGAUGGGAGACUACCUAGGAAGACCAGGUGCUGUAGGCA
rnacentral:rRNA from 1 species